GUUGACGGCCACAGCAGAGGGGAAACACCCGUUCCCAUCCCGAACACGGAAGUUAAGACCUCAAGCGAUCUGGGCGGUACUGCGUAACACGUGGAAAACCCAGGACGCUGUCAACC
rnacentral:rRNA from 1 species